AUUUGGCUUCCUCUGCUAUUAAAUCCUACGUAUACCCAGGAGUUACACUGAUGUACUUACAUAUUGUUUCUGCGUUGAGAUCGCCUAAUGAGGCAAUUAGUAGAGCUCCUCAGACAGCUGGACCAAACACUUUUCGGCAGAGAGGAAAGGUCCACUCAAGCAACAGUGCAAAGUGCCUACACUCACUGCCCACUUCUAUUUGGCAGUGUGGCUUAGACAAGGGGAGACUGGCAAAGGCAACAGAGGUGUUAAAGUCAUGCCAGCCCCAGACAAGAGACUUUUUCCUUGAAUUACUUUAUCCAUCAUUAAGGAUUGAGGAUUGAAAGAGAUUUGAAAAUAAAAUUGUUUUUAUAUUUCCA